GAUGAACGCUGGCGGCGUGCCUAAUACAUGCAAGUCGAGCGAACAGAUGAGGAGCUUGCUCCUCUGACGUUAGCGGCGGACGGGUGAGUAACACGUGGAUAACCUACCUAUAAGACUGGGAUAACUUCGGGAAACCGGAGCUAAUACCGGAUAAUAUAUUGAACCGCAUGGUUCAAUAGUGAAAGACGGUUUUGCUGUCACUUAUAGAUGGAUCCGCGCCGCAUUAGCUAGUUGGUAAGGUAACGGCUUACCAAGGCAACGAUGCGUAGCCGACCUGAGAGCGUGGUCGGACAGACUGGAACUGAGACACGGUCCAGACUCCUACGGGAGGCAGCAGUAGGGAAUCUUCCGCAAUGGGCGAAAGCCUGACGGAGCAACGCCGCGUGAGUGAUGAAGGUCUUCGGAUCGUAAAACUCUGUUAUUAGGGAAGAACAAAUGUGUAAGUAACUAUGCACGUCUUGACGGUACCUAAUCAGAAAGCCACGGCUAACUACGUG
rnacentral:rRNA from 1 species